GUAAUUAAUAGUUUAUCAGUUUAAAUAUAUAAUAUCAUUGUGAAUAAUGGCGUUAAGCUACAAUAACUAUUGUGAAUUAUCGCAGUGCCCGUUUUGUCUUUGACCUUUGUUUCGGUAUCCAUAUUGUUGUUCCGAACGUCGAAGAGACUGGCUGAGACACUGCGGUAAGUAAUAACCCUUUCUUUAUAGAUAUAAAUUGUAGUUGUUGAUGUUACUGUGCAUGUAAGUGUACGAAAUAUGUGUCCACAUGUGAACACAAUUAAAUUCGCUAGCCAUCCGAAAUUGAGACAUCUUUAUUUCGCAAGACUAUUACGUUCAUUCAUAUUGUCGCCAAAUUAAAUGCAUACAGCCAAUUCUUGCGUAACUGUAACUUCCGUGCCCGCGGAGUAUACAAUUUACGUCAUAAAGCUUGUUGUAGAAUCAUUUAUUAUUCACGUGCCACCUUCUUGGCCAAACAUGCUAACGUUCUACAUCCAAACGGGACGCCAACCCGCUAUUCACCGCCAACGCCAUAGCCGUACUACACAGCCGAUUUUGAUCGCCACUGCCUCUUCGAUAGGUACUACAACUUCAUUACAGUCGCAGCCAACAGUUAACAUUAUACCAAACAGUUCAUAUUUGCUCACACUGUCGAGAAAAGUUCAAGAUCUGCCAUAUUUCGAUGGACGCCACGAAGACUGGCCAAUGUUCGCUACCGCUUUCGCACCGUCAACUGCACCAUACAACUACACGAAUUUCGAAAAGAACCAACGUCUACAGAGAUGCUUAAAGGACACUUUGGGAUUUCGAUUCGGCCGUCCAAAAAUUACUCAUUAAAUGUCAGCUGCGCCAAGUACGGGAGAUGCCAUAUGUAUAUCAGAAUCUGCCACCGACAAAAUAAUCCCGUUCUCCUUUAGGUAAAAAACCUGACUGUGUUACUACAAAUAGUAACUUGUGUAACUCAACGUUGGUGGAGGAGCUUGUAGGAAAGCUGCACAAGAGCAAGAAACUCGACAGGCCGAUUUAUUAUGUACACUACAAGAUAGGGUGGACUCAUUCAAACGAACCAAAGCGCCGCGUUCUCCUUCAAGCCGCCAACAUUAUUAGAGAAAUACUAUGUCCACUGUGCCAUGGUGGACACUACAUAUUCGAUUGUGAAACAUUCAAGCCGAUUGUUCAUACCACAAGUUCGGUGCACCUCCUCGGUUAGGUGCAAUACAUGCAAUGGAUGGAGCCAUCUUAAGACCUGUUCAGACCUUAAGACACACAGGG